rnacentral:rRNA from 1 species
CCUACGGGAGGCAGCAGUGGGGAAUAUUGCACAAUGGGCGAAAGCCUGAUGCAGCAACGCCGCGUGAAGGAAGAAGGGUUUCUGCUCGUAAACUUCUAUCAACAGGGACGAAAGAAAUGACGGUCCCUUGAUAAUAAGCCCCCGCUAACUACGUGCCAGCAGCCGCGGUAAUACGUAGGGGGCAAGCUUUAUCCGGAAUUAUUGGGUGCAAGGGGUGAGUAGGCGGCAUGGUAAGCCAGAUGUGAAAGCCUUUGGCUUAACCGGAGGAUUGCAUUUGGAACUAUCAAGCUAGAGUGCAGGAGAGGAAAGCGGAAUUCCUAGUGUAGCGGUGGAAUGCGUAGAUAUUAGGAAGAACACCAGUGGCGAAGGCGGCUUUCUGGACUGAAACUGACGCUGAGGCACGAAAGCGUGGGGAGCGAACAGGAUUAGAUACCCUUGUAGUC